AGUGGAUGGGGAGCAACCUAGUUGUGCGUGUGUAAAGGUAGUGCCAAGAAAAGCGAUGAUCAUGUUGAAAAUCAAUUCCCGGUACCCGAAACCGACACAGGUGGGCAAGUAGAGAAUACUAAGGGGCGCGAGGUAACUCUCUCCAAGGAACUCGGCAAAAUGACCCCGUAACUUAGGGAGAAGGGGUGCCACCGAGAGGUGGUCGCAGUGAAGAGGCCCAGGCGACUGUUUAGCAAAAACAUAGGUCUCUGCAAACUCGAAAGAGGAGGUAUAGGGGCUGACGCCUGCCCAGUGCCGGAAGGUUAAAGAAGUUGGUCAGUCUUAGGAUGAAGCUAGCGACUGAAGCCCCGGUGAACGGCGGCCGUAACUAUAACGGUCCUAAGGUAGCGAAAUUCCUUGUCGGGUAAGUUCCGACCCGCACGAAAGGCGUAACGAUCUGGGCGCUGUCUCGGAGAGAGGCUCGGCGAAAUAGGAUUGUCUGUGAAGAUACGGACUACCUGCAUUUGGACAGAAAGACCCUAUGAAGCUUUACUAUAGCUUGGAAUUGUGUUCGGGCUUCCUGUGCGCAGGAUAGGUGGGAGGCGUAGAAGGUAUUCUUGUGGGGAUACUGGAGCCAACGGUGAGAUACCACUCUCAGGAGGCUAGAAUUCUAACUUAAUUAAGGACAGUUUCAGGUGGGUAGUUUGACUGGGGCGGUCGCCUCCAAAAAGGUAACGGAGGCGUACAAAGGUUCCCUCAGACUGGUUGGAAAUCAGUCGAAGAGUGCAAAGGCAGAAGGGAGCUUGACUGCGAGAAGUACAGUUCGAGCAGGGUGGAAACACGGUCUUAGUGAUCCGACGGUGCUGUGUGGAAGGGCCGUUGUUCAACGGAUAAAAGUUACUCUAGGAUAACAGGCUGAUCUCCCCCAAGAGUUCACAUCGACGGGGAGGUUUGGCACCUCGAUGUCGGCUCAUCGCAACCUGGGGCGGAAGUACGUCCCAAGGGUUGGGCUGUUCGCCCAUUAAAGCGGUACGUGAGCUGGGUUCAGAACGUCGUGAGACAGUUCGGUCCAUAUCCGAUGUAGGCGUGAGAAUAUUGAGAGGAGCCUUCCUUAGUACGAGAGGACCGGGAAGGACGCACCGCUGGUGUACCUGUUAUGAUGCCAAUUGUAAACGCAGGGUAGCCAAGUGCGGAGAGGAUAACCGCUGAAAGCAUCUAAGUGGGAAGCCCACCUCAAGAUGAGUAUUCUGGUGUAAGGUCACGGGAAGACGACCCGUAAAUAGGCACGAGGUGGAAGUGCAGAGAUGUAUGAAGCCGAAGUGUACUAAUAGACCGUCGGCUUGACC
rnacentral:rRNA from 1 species